AGAGUUUGAUCCUGGCUCAGAAUCAACGCUGGCGGCGUGCCUAACACAUGCAAGUCGAACGAGAAAGCGGGGGCAACUCCGUGAGUAAAGUGGCGAACGGGUGAGUAACACGUAGCUAACCUACCCUCGAGCGGGGAAUAACCCGGGGAAACCUGAGCUAAUACCGCAUAAAAUUCCGGCGGCCUAAGUCGCCGGGAUCAAAGGCCCGCAAGGGUCACUUGAGGAGGGGGCUGCGGCCGAUUAGCUAGUUGGUGGGGUAAUGGCCUACCAAGGCGAUGAUCGGUAGCCGGCCUGAGAGGGCGCACGGUCACACUGGCACUGAGAUACGGGCCAGACUCCUACGGGAGGCAGCAGUGGGGAAUUUUGCACAAUGCCCGAAAGGGUGAUGCAGCAACGCCGCGUGAGGGAUGAAGGCCCUCGGGUCGUAAACCUCUUUCGAUCGGGAAAAAUGGGCGGGUGAAGAACCCGUUCUGAUGGUACCGGAUGAAGAAGCCCCGGCCAACUACGUGCCAGCAGCCGCGGUAAUACGUAGGGGGCAAGCGUUGUUCGGAAUUACUGGGCGUAAAGGGCGUGUAGGCGGUGCGGUAUGUUGGACGUGAAAUCCCCGGGCUUAACUCGGGGCGGUCGUUCAAAACUGCCGUGCUAGAGUGUGGGAGAGGGAAGUGGAAUUCCCGGUGUAGCGGUGAAAUGCGUAGAUAUCGGGAAGAACACCUGUGGCGAAGGCGGCUUCCUGGCCCACAACUGACGCUGAGGCGCGAAAGCUAGGGGAGCAAACAGGAUUAGAUACCCUGGUAGUCCUAGCCCUAAACGAUGA
rnacentral:rRNA from 1 species